UUUCUGUUGGAAAAGAGAACAAAGAAAAACUGAAACUCACGUCAAGCAUUCUUUUUUUGGCUCAUGCCGGCUGGACAGGAAAUGACAUGGAUCCACUUAACCACAACAAUAUGGGAAGAGGGCUGCAGCUGUAUCCUUUCCAUGAGGAUACAGAACUUGGCUAACUAUCACUUUUCAAUUCAUUAAACGGUUUAAGCUCUGUGAAAUGACAGGAGGGCAGCAGUCAAAACUCACCUACUAAGGCGAACAAAGAGCAAGAAUUUAAAAGAAUAGUGUAGAAAUUACAAGCUUGUUGUUAUAACUUCAUGCCCAAUCAGUAAUGGGCCAUUUCCCUCUGUGAGCCACAUAAUCUCUGCUAAAUCCCUCUACAAUGAAACCUUGUGUAACGUAACCUUAAAUACAAUACAUUCAAGAUGUUAUGUGGUGUGACUAUUCGAAAACUCAAAAAUAUUUUAUGAAUAAAUAAUUUAAUAAUAAUAUUAUGAAGUAAUAAUAACAAAAAAAAAUGACUUUGAAUAAUAUAUUUUACUUGGGGAAAAAAGAUGCAAAUCUGUAGUAACAUGUAUUCAAAGUGUUAGCAAUUACUUUUCAGUUGGUCAAACAUAAUAUUUAAAAUGUCAAUACAAUCUUGAAUUUAGUGCAUGUUUUAAAAAUUUGAUUCUUAUUUUUAUUUAUUGUGGGUACUCAUGUCAGUGACCCUCAUAAUAACACUAUAUAUAUUUUAAAAAUCUUGUUUAGAAUACCAUAAAUAAAUAAUGCUAACACUAGAUCAAAACUACUAUUGAUUUAAUAAAAAAUAAAAAAUAAAAAAAAAAUAACAAUGCAAUGACACAAUUACAAACUGGCACUAUAAUGGAUAAGCAAAACAAACACACCGUCUGCCAUGAAUGUGAGGUAAUAAAUCUCAAUCAUUAUUCCAACCCACCUCAGAUGCUGGCAGUGCAGUCAGACUCCCAGCAGCCACUGCAUGAAAACAAGAAACUCAAGCCCAACAGCUGCGCUGGCCGCCUGCAGCCUGACUGAAACCAGAGCCCAUCAUCUCCACUCUACUAGGGAUCAGCUGUGCGAGUGCCACAUUUUUGCAGCUGUCCCCAGAUGUUUACACUCACGAUGGAUGACUGACAGUGAAAGCUUGUCAUCGCGGCUGUGACACAGUCAACGUGAAAGGAAACGAAAGACAACAAUGGCAACAAUGAGUAAAAGACUGACCCUUUUGCUGAAUCAGUCCUAUUGGCUCCUCUGUUUGAGCACAACUCCCUCAAAAAAAAGAACCUGUUUGUCUUUCCUGGGAUCGGUAAACAUCCUCAACACAAACAGAAGAAAGUCACACCACCAGGCCAGCUGCGCUCUCACUGUAUGUGUCUAUAGAUGUCUGUAGGAGGGAACUGAUA